CCACAUAGUACAAAUGCCAGGAGUAAAUCCUAAUGCAAAUUAUGAAGACUAAUAAUAGAUGCAGGAGUUCGCUGCCUCUGCAGCCCCCUCCCUUACAGAGUCCACCGCCCUAAAUUCCUGGCUGCCCUAGAAGACCUCAAAGCUCUCCUCUGUCACUUCAAGCCACUGAUGAUGAAACUUUCCUCUACACUGACCAGCAUGGGAAUUAUUGGGCAGCCCUUAGGCAGAAACAAACUAAAGCACCGUCUUUCAAGGAUAAAUAAUAACAGUUUGUGAUCAAUCUGCAGUACCUUCAUGA